rnacentral:rRNA from 1 species
UACGUAUGGUGCAAGCGUUAUCCGGAUUUACUGGGUGUAAAGGGAGCGUAGGCGGCGCGUUAAGUCUGAUGUGAAAACCCGAGGCUCAACCAUUGUAUGCAUUGGAAACUGGUAGACUUGAGUGCAGGAGAGGAGAGUGGAAUUCCAUGUGUAGCGGUGAAAUGCGUAGAUAUAUGGAGGAACACCGGUGGCGAAAGCGGCUCUCUGGCCUGUAACUGACACUGAGGCUCGAAAGCGUGGGGAGCAAACAGG